rnacentral:tRNA from 2 species
GGACCGGUCGUCUAGUGGCUAGGAUGACGCACUCACACUGCGUAAGAAUUUCAAAAUUCCGCAAAGGUCAUGGGUUCAAAUCCCAUCCGGUCCACCA